CUAUAUAUGGAGAUUUCAGGUGCCGGUGAUUGUCCGGCUUAAAAGGGAAUUCGGUGAAAUGCCGAAGCUGUCCCCGCAACUGUAAUUGUGGACGAAAUGGAACUGCCACUGUACAGAUUAGCUAUGAAAAUGGCUGCUGUAUGGGAAGGCCCAAAGUAGGAUGAAGCAUAAGCCAGUAGACCUGCCUGAAUCUCUUGUUUUCU
rnacentral:ncRNA from 2 species